CUCCAGCAGGCAGUGGACGAGCUGUGGAGCUGCUUGGAAAAUUUUCCACUUCAGUGAGAUUCGGAGGGAAGGUUGAAUAUAUUUGGCAUGAAAUCCCCCCAGUAUUCCUCCUCCUCCUCCUCCUCUCUUUUUCCUCCCCACAACCACUCCUCCAACCUUCCUCCCAUAGUGGGCAUGACUUUGCCUGUAUUUCUGUUCUGCCUUGCAUGUGCUCUUACUGCAGAAAAAAGCACCCUCCUUUUUGCCUCCUAAUCCCCAAGCUGUAUCACAUCAUGCUGUUCUGCACCCAAAUACUCUUGUGUCUGUCCUGCCCAGAGCUGAAUCCACUCUCUGAAUCCAGAGUGCAUUGGGCUGCGGCCAGCUAGGUCUGCAGUACAGUAAAUAUUGCUGUUGUAUCCUCCAAAGGGAGGAUGCUGGGCUGCAGACAGCUGCUUCAUUGCCAGACAAGACUCAGGGGCCUAGAUCCCCCCUUUUUCACUCUCUUUCUUAAAAAAAAAAGAGAGAGAGAGAGAGAGAAGACAUCUGCAGAAGCACGAUAAUGACCUUGGAUUGAGCUCUGCUAACAAGAUACACGACAAAAAGUUUUGUCAUGCAAUGUGACUUGAAUUGUUUCUGAUAAAAGAGGGUGCAAUGAUGUCUGCUGGAAUACCUCUGCUCUGGGGUGGCCGGCAUGGUGCCCUUGCAAUGUUGUCAGACUCCCAAUUCCCAUCAGCCCUAGCCAGUGUGGCCAGUGGUCAGGCAUGAUAGGAAUUAAAGUCCAGUAUCAUCUGUAAGGUACCAUGUUGGCUAGGGACGCGGGUGGCGCUGUGGGUUAAACCACAGAGCCUAGGACUUGCCGAUCAGAAGGUCAGCAGUUCGAAUCCCCGCGAUGUGGUGAGCUCCUGUUGCUUGGUCCCUGCUCCUGCCAACCUAGCAGUUCGAAAGCAUGUCAAAUUGCAUGUAGAUAAAUAGGUACCGCUCCAGCGGGAAGGUAAACGGUGUUUCCGUGUGCUGCUCUGGUUCGCCAGAGGCGGCUUAGUCAUGCUGGCCACAUGACCUGUACGCCGGCUCCCUCGGCCAAUAAAUCGAGAUGAGCGCCGCAACCCCAGAGUCGGUCACGACUGGAUCUAACGGUCAGGGGUCCCUUUACCUUUACCAUGUUGGCUACUUGCCACAGUGAUGCACAGCACAGUAAUAAGAGCAUAAGAAGAGUCCUGUUUGGUCAGACCAAAGGCUUUUUUGGGUUAGCAUUAUUGUUCCUGAAGGUGGCCAACCAGAUGCCUCCAGGAACAUGGGUGUGGAGACAACAACCUUCUCCUGGUGGUUAUUUGGUGGGGAGUGGUCCACUACCUCUGAACAAGGAGCUUCUUCUUAGCCAUCUGAAUUUGUGUUCCAUGAAUUUGUCUCAUUUCCCUUUAAAGCCAUCUAAAGCAGCAGCCCUACGAUGCAGCCAUGGCACGCAAAUUGGGCAGAGCCUUUCAACAGAAUCCGUGAUUGCCCAAUUAUUAUUCACUACUAGCUGGCAGAUUCAGCUACUUUGGGGCACACACCUGUCCCUUUUUAUUGGGACACCUUAUUGGGCUGUGCACCCAUCCUCUGAGCGCCACUAGCAGCAUGAUUCUGAGCACAGAACUUGAGUCACUUUGAUGCCAAGUUUUAAAUACAUUUUUGCAUAGGAAUAUAUUCCUGUUUAUCACCUGACACUUUUAUUGCCCAGACCAUUAGGGAAGUUGGAAUAAAAGCCAGUAUCUUACCCAAGGCUAGCCAGUGAGAGCAUAUAUUAUAGAGCAGAGGCACAAACUGGUUUUAAUAGUCAUUCUUCUUCAUAGGAAGACCUAUGUUGUGUGUGGGCGGGGGAGCAUUCUUUGUAUCUUCAUCAAACUACAGUUUCCAGGGUUCUUUGGGGAUAGGUCAUUGAAUCAAUUAUAAAAACCGUGUAAAACUGUAAUCCUGUACAGUUCCCUUACCUGGGAGUAAGUCCUGUUUAAGUCAUCGGUGCUUCUUUCUAAGUAUAUAUGUGCAGGACUGCAUUAUAAGUAAUGUCUUCUUUCUUCUUUGGCGAUCACGCAUAGCCAAGUACAUUGUCUUAUGAACACGGUCUUAACUGUAAGUGACUUUGGAGGCCAAUUCUGGAUCCGCACAUCCUUCCACAGUGGGGUCAUAGGUUUCUCAGCAGGAGUUGAUCAUGGUGAGGAUUUGCCAAAUGUGCCUUCCUCUUAGCUUGUUUCUCUCCCUUUCAUCCUGAGUUUGUGCUUCUUCAAAGUCCAUGACGCCUUUAGUAGAGGCUAUUCUCCAAAUGGAGUGCUCGCAGGCCAGUGUUUCCCAGUUGUCAGUGUUUAUGCUACAAUUUUUUAAAGAUUUGCCUUGAGAGAGUCUUUAAACCUCUUUUGUUGCCCACUGGCAUUACGCUUUCCAUUCUUAAGUUGGGAAUAGAAUAGUUGCUUUGGAAGAUGCUAUGUCUUCCAAAUAAGUAAUGUAGGCCUAUACUCUAAUCUUCACAGUCAAUAGGGGACUUGAACCUAGAUCGCCUGUGUACAAACUGCAUCAUACUGAACCUUUUCCACAUUUUGUUGUAGUUAUAUGAAAGGCUCUGAAAUUGGGCCCCAAUCUUAGUCUCUCCCCAAAAAUCUAUAUAAGACAUUGGGCUAACUUUGUUUUGAGCUUUCCAAUGUUCAUUUUAGCAAGGUAAAUGUGGACCCUUGCUUGUUUUGCCAUUAGACUAGGGGCAGCCAAUGAUGGUGCUGUCCAUAUACUUGAGACCACAGCACCUACCAUAUCUGACAAUUUAAGCUAAUGGGAGCUGUAGUGCAAAUCAUCUGGAGGGUAUCAUCUUAGCUACCCUGCAUUAGACAGCCACAGGUGCCCAGUUGCUACCAUAUGUGUUGAAUAUUAUGCUACCCUUUGAUUCAGUCUGUUACGUAGUGAGAGGUUUUUACCCCUUACUCCAUUUUCCAAUUAGAUAAUACAUUAGUUCAGCCGUACCCAACCUGGCUGAGGCUGAUGGAGUUGCAGGUGGAAACAUCUGGAGGGCACCAGGUUGGGGAAGGUUGCAGCAGUUCCAACAAAGAGCAUUGCUGGCAUUUUGUAGAACCUGCAUUAUAUAAUUACCCCUCAGUUAUUGUUCCAAAAUAUGCAAACUUGUUUCCGUGUGGUUUUGGAGGUUUUCUUUCCAGUUUUUUCUUUCUGUCAUAAGAAUGAGAGAAGUUAAUUUGUUCAUCUCUCUUAUAUCCCAUGACCUCUUGAGCCGAUCCAUAGAGUCAGGGAUUUGUAGCUUUGCCAAUGCUAUUCUGGCAGCAAUUAAUAAGUUUCCAACCAAGUGUCUGUCUUGCAGUUUAAGCCCUAGAUUUUGAAAGCUAGAGCUGUACCAGACUUCCAGCAGUUUCAAUGUUGGGGGUGAGAUUAGUGAUUGGGGUAGGGUAACCCCCCAACCUGCCGAAACAACUUUACCAUGUACAAAUAUUUGCCUGGCCACCACUGAACACAGUUUGGUACCAUUAUUUCUGUUGUCAGUUUCCUCCUUUCUUGACAAAUCUCAUGCAGCGGACAAAAGAUGUCAUAACUCAUGAGGCGAUCACAUAAUCAAUGAGAUAAUUCAGGUAAACAUCGCUGAUUAGAUUUGGCUGCAUGGUAACAACACUAAGAACAAUUGUGAAUGAGAGUGAUUUUAAACAAAUAAGCAAAUGUUUUCUCAAGAUCUUGCUUUUUAAAAAAAUGCAGAAAAGGAGACCUGUCUCCCAGUGCUCUUUGUGAUGCCUUAAUACAGGGAUGGGGAACCAUUGGCCCUCCAGAUGUUGUUGGGUUCCAAUUCAGCAUGGCCAAUAGGGAUGCUGUAGCACAACAACAUCUGGAGGGCCAUAGGAACCCCAUCCCUGCCUUGAUGUCUUGUGUCCAGAUUUCACCAACUUUUUUCAGAGCAGUCACUACAGCAAAGCCAUUUCAAGGCACAUCCAUCUGUUGUUGCAACACACAUGCCUGCCUUUUAGUGCAGGGAGAGGGACCCCAGGCCUGGGCGCCAACAGUGGCCCUCCAUGCCUCCCUAAUUGCCCCUCUGGACUCUUUCCCAAGCAACACACCCUCCAGAGGUAUACCCUUCACCAGCCCUUAUUCACCCCCUACCACCAAUCCUUGAGUGUUUUGGCCUGGCUAGAACAUUUCCUUGAACUCUGCUCAUGCUUAUUUCUUGCCUGGGUAGAGGAUAGAGCUUUGUAAGUUUAAAGAAAUUAUUGGCCUACUGUACAGAGGAGAAUGUCACAUUCUUUGCUUAGCCCACAUGGGGCCCUUCAAAUGUUUUCCUGAAGGGAAUGUGGCCCUCAGGCUUAAAAAAGCUCCCCCACUUUAGUGUCUGGAAGAAAAACAUAGGUGCCUUGCCUGAAGCCAGAGAUGUGCAUAUAUGGCUGCAAGCGGGCCAUCAGAACAAAAAUGGGAUGCGAGACCAGGGAGAAGAGUUGGUGGAAGAAGACUGGAAAAAGUUUAAAGACUAUUUACAGAAAUACUGUAAAAUUAAUGAAUGUUAGAAAAAUGUUGGGAUGAAGUUAUAUGGCUUUAGUAGAAAUGUUAUAAGGAAUUAAGUAUAAAUAGAUUAAUAGAGUAUUAAAAGGAAAAAUAAGGUUAGAAUGUGUUAAGAUAAUUAUAGGAUAGAAAGCAGAGGAAGAUGGAAAGGAAUUGCUGAAACAAUUAAUAGAAGUGGAAUACAAAAAGGGAGGUGUGAGGAGGUCAUUGAAAUAAGUGAAUGAAAGAUAAGAUAUUGAAAUUGUUUGUGUGUUUUAAACUGUUUUUGUUUUGUCUUGUUAGUUUAAUGUGUUAGUGUUAUGUAGUGUUUUUGUAUUGUAUUGUAUUGUAUUGUAUUGUAUUGUUCAUUCUUUUUUUGUAGUGUUUAAAUUGUUGGAAAAGUAAUAAAUAUUAUUUUCAAAAAAAAAGAAAGAACAAAAAUGGGAUGGUGCAAGGUAUUUUGAAUUCCUAAGAUGGAAAAAUCCAAAUCCAUUUCCUUACUUUAUCCUAACUGCUGAAUUCUGUUGGAGUGGUUGGUUUCCAUUGCAGAUUCUUUGAGUACCGUAUUCUGUUGCUCCUUGCCCCUACAUCCAUCACAGCUCUGGCCCACCUGCUUUUUUUAAUUAUAAGAGCAUAAGAAAGGCCUGCUGAAUCAUGCCAUAGGCUCAUCUAGUCCAGCACCCUGUUCUCACAGUGGCCAACCGAGUGCCUGUGGAGGAACCCCGCAAGCAGAGUUAUGGGUUUCCCCCUUGCAGUAAUGGUGGAAGCAUUCCGGGAAUCCACCUUCAGAUACCAAUCUAAGCUAUCCCUUCUCUGUCUCUCUUU